rnacentral:rRNA from 1 species
AUACAGAGGGUGCGAGCGUUAAUCGGAAUUACUGGGCGUAAAGCGCGCGUAGGCGGCUUAUUAAGUCAGAUGUGAAAUCCCCGGGCUCAACCUGGGAACUGCAUCUGAUACUGGUAAGCUAGAGUUUUAGAGAGGGAAGUAGAAUUUCAGGUGUAGCGGUGGAAUGCAUAGAGAUCUGAAGGAAUACCAGUGGCGAAGGCGACUUCCUGGCCAAAAACUGACGCUGAGGUGCGAAAGCGUGGGUAGCAAACGGAAUUAGAAACCCCGGUAGUCC